UGGCGCACGGGUGCGUAACACGUAACUAACCUACCUAUACCUGGGGGAUAGCCCGCCGAAAGGCGGAUUAAUACCGCAUAAGGCUUUUACCUGGCAUCGGGUGAUAGUUAAAGAUUUAUUGGGUAUAGAUGGGGUUGCGGGUCAUUAGCUAGUUGGUAAGGUAACGGCUUACCAAGGCGACGAUGACUAGGGGAGCUGAGAGGCUGGUCCCCCACACGGGCACUGAGAUACGGGCCCGACUCCUACGGGAGGCAGCAGUAGGGAAUAUUGGGCAAUGGACGAGAGUCUGACCCAGCCAUGCCGCGUGCA
rnacentral:rRNA from 1 species